CACGUACUCCCUUCGUUCGAAAAAAUUUGUCCUAAGCAUAUCUCUCACAUAGAUGUAUCUAGCACUAACUUCGUGCUAGGUACAUCCGGACAAGAUUUUUCGGACGGAGGGAGUAGUAA
rnacentral:pre_miRNA from 1 species